rfam:Triticum aestivum genome assembly, contig: Triticum_aestivum_CS42_TGACv1_scaffold_146427_2BS
CACGUACUCCCUCCGUUCCGAAUUACUUGUCUUGGAUUUGUCUAGAUACGGAUGUAUCUAGAUUCAUUUCAGUGCUAGAUACAUCCGACAAAUCUAAGACAAGUAAUUCGGAACGGAGGGAGUACGUA